rnacentral:miRNA from 1 species
UAGCACCAGUUGAAAUCAGCUU